UACGUAGGGAGCAAGCGUUGUUCGGAUUUACUGGGCGUAAAGGGCGCGUAGGCGGCCUCCGCAAGUCAGUUGUGAAAUCUCCGAGCUUAACUCGGAAAGGUCAACUGAUACUGCGGGGCUAGAGUGCGGAAGGGGCAACUGGAAUUCUUGGUGUAGCGGUGAAAUGCGUAGAUAUCAAGAGGAACACCUGCGGCGAAGGCGGGUUGCUGGGCCGACACUGACGCUGAGGCGCGAAAGCUAGGGGAGCGAACGGG
rnacentral:rRNA from 1 species